AUGGCCUCUUUGUCUUCCCCCUGCUUCCUUCUCUUCACUGCUAUUCUUGCAUUAGUCUCAUGGCACGCUUUAGCUUCUGAUCCUGGUCCUCUCCAGGACUUCUGUGUCGCGGACAAUAGCUCGCGUGUACUUGUUAACGGAUUCGUCUGUAAGGACCCAAAAGCCGUGACGGCGGAGGACUUCUUCCUGGCGGCCAAACUCGACAUGCCGAGAGACACAAAGAUAAGCAAGGUUGGGUCGAACGUGACCUUGAUUAACGUCAUGAAGAUUGCUGGCCUCAACACGCUUGGCAUCUCCCUCGCACGCAUCGACUACGCACCCCUAGGCGAGAACCCUCCGCACACACACCCCCGUGCCACUGAGAUCCUCACCGUACUUGAGGGUACGCUCUACGUUGGCUUCGUCACGUCCAACCCGGAAAACAAGCUCUUCUCCAAGGAGCUCAGGAAGGGUGAUGUGUUUGUUUUCCCACAAGGACUCAUCCACUUCCAGUUUAACCCCAACCCCUACAAGCCGGCGGUCGCAAUUGCCGCACUUAGCAGCCAGAACCCGGGGGCAAUUACCAUUGCCAACGCCGUAUUUGGAUCAAAGCCUAUGAUCUCUGAUGAUGUUCUCGCCAAGGCCUUUCAGGUGGAGAAGAAAACUGUGGACUGGCUCCAAGCUCAGUUCUGGGCCGACAACCACAAUUAA
rnacentral:rRNA from 1 species